UACGUAGGGGGCGAGCGUUGUCCGAAGUUACUGGGCGUAAAGCGCGUGUAGGCGGCUGCGUGUGUCGGGCGUGAAAUCCCAUGGCUCAACCAUGGAAGUGCACCCGAAACUGCGUAGCUAGAGUCCUGGAGAGGAAGGUGGAAUGCUUGGUGUAGAGGUGAAAUUCGUAGAUAUCAAGCGGAACACCGGUGGCGAAGGCGGCCUUCUGGACAGUGACUGACGCUGAGACGCGAAAGCGUGGGGAGCAAACAGG
rnacentral:rRNA from 1 species